rnacentral:rRNA from 1 species
GAUGAACGCUGGCGGCGUGCCUAAUACAUGCAAGUCGAGCGAACAGAUAAGGAGCUUGCUCCUUUGACGUUAGCGGCGGACGGGUGAGUAACACGUGGGUAACCUACCUAUAAGACUGGGAUAACUUCGGGAAACCGGAGCUAAUACCGGAUAACAUUUGGAGCCGCAUGGUUCUAAAGUGAAAGAUGGUUUUGCUAUCACUUAUAGAUGGACCCGCGCCGUAUUAGCUAGUUGGUAAGGUAACGGCUUACCAAGGCAACGAUACGUAGCCGACCUGAGAGGGUGAUCGGCCACACUGGAACUGAGACACGGUCCAGACUCCUACGGGAGGCAGCAGUAGGGAAUCUUCCGCAAUGGGCGAAAGCCUGACGGAGCAACGCCGCGUGAGUGAUGAAGGGUUUCGGCUCGUAAAACUCUGUUAUUAGGGAAGAACAAACGUGUAAGUAACUGUGCACGUCUUGACGGUACCUAAUCAGAAAGCCACGGCUAACUACGUG